CACAAACUUAGUACGUUAAAAGAUUUGCAAAUCAAGUUAUCAAAAAAGGCUAAAUAUUUAGAAAUUAUAAGUAAUUCGUUCUUGAGAAGAAAAGUACCAAACCAGACUCAAAAUCUUGGGAAAAACACUCAGCUGCUUAUUUAUUUCACUAUCUUUGUAACACACAAUUAAUGGGAAAAAUGACUUAAUUAGGCCAGUGGUAAUAGAUGGAUCCAUCAUAGAACUUGAGAAAUCAUUGAACCAAAUAACACCAAUGUAGCAUAAUUAGCAUAUAAUCCAAAAGGCUCGAAAACAACACUCUAUAUCUUUAGCAAACGUGAGAACAAAAUUAAAACGAGUUCACUCAAAUAACUUCGACACGAAUGAACAAAGAGUUUGAAUUAGACCUUGAUAAGCUUUCAAAAUUGUGUCUCCGUUUAGCAGGUGUAUACAAGCAAUAUUGCUGAGAUUCAAACAACCACGGAGGUUUGGUAACUCGGACUUGGCCGGAAAUAAUGGACGACACCUCGGUCGGGAUCAACGAACGACAACCUUGGAUUUUCGCAGAAAACGAAUUUGAACUUCAAAUAAGUUAACAAAGGCCGGAACGGACUGUUUUUAGGCAAAAUGAAGACUCUCCGGUGAUGAAAUCCGGCUGAACCAACAAAAGGAGCACUCAAACAGAAAAUCAGUAGAGACAAUCGAGGUUGCCAGAUCUCGUCACUUCCGGCAAUGUAACAGUGAAAAAGAGAGAGAAAGGGGAAGCAACGAGAGCAACCUUAUAGCAGUGUUCUCCGAGUUCAAGCGGAGGGUCGCUGGAUUCAAUGGAAAUCAGUCACCUCCGGCGACUUUACCAUAUAGCACGACGAAGGGAAAAGGGAUGAGGGCGAUGGCAACUUUGGAGUUUUUUUUUGUUAUUUUAGCUUGAAAAUAUCUUCAUGAAGAAGAUGACGAUCAUUGCAAGUUUUUUUUUCUCUUUCUGUUUUGGCGUUUUCUUUCUUUAUUUCGUCCGUUUUUUUGUAUUUUUUUUUCGGAUAUCUUUUUUUUGUCUCUUUUUCUCUUUGUAUAUAGAAUGGUUUUAU
rnacentral:lncRNA from 1 species